rnacentral:lncRNA from 1 species
GAAGCAAGAUUUUCUUUCCCUGAGUGGAGCUGUGGCGAGUUCCUCUUCCUCCCUGUGUUCAGCUUCUACAGCCAGUGAAGCAAAUCUGUGAAGAGAAGCCAGAGUUUGUGCUUCCGAGAUGGGAGCGGAUCAGCCUCACAUCCCUGGGCUCUGGUUGUUCUAGAAGCCAUGUCAUAUUAGAUGUUAACUAGUUCAGGUUAAAAGGACAUUAAUAACAAAAUAGUUUUGUUUUGGUUUGGUUUUUUUUUAAGGUCAGAUUGCUUGGGAUUCAGGCAGAGGCUGGCAAAUCAAAUCUUGAACACAACUUUUGUAUUUAAAAAAAUCUGCCUCAAUGGAAAUGCUAGUUCUAUGACUGGGAAAGAUUGCUUUUAAAAUGAUUAAUAAAAUUACUUACUAUACAGUCAUGAAAUGUACCAGAAAGGCAUUGUCCUCCUGGGUUAGAGCUGCCCAGCAUCUUACGGUGGUUUGGUGAGAACAGGAGUCAGUUUCCCUUUCCCAGCCUGCAGAGACUGUGCACCAUGGAUAUGUCUGUCUGUCUGUCUGUCUGUCUGUUUACAAACUGUAUUUGUUGGGUUUGGGAUUGCUUUUGUUUUUCUUUUCUUUUUUUUCCUUUCUUGGGUGGGAAUUCUUUUCCCAGGUCACUUUGCUUCAAUAACGAAGGCGAUUGUUUUUGAAUAAUUUGUCUUCACCUCCUUCCGGUAUUUGUACAUAAUAAUGAUUCAGUAUUAGUAAGAAGUGCGUUAUUUCUGUUAUUGCUGAUCUGUGUUGGUGCUCAUUUGAGAAAAUAAAGUUUUGAAAUACUAACUCUUGGG